GCCCUGGCAGUCCAGUGGUUAAGACUCUGCACUUCCACUGCAGGGGACACAGGUUCAAUCUCUGGUCAGGGAA
rnacentral:tRNA from 1 species